rnacentral:antisense_RNA from 1 species
CUUCACCGAGCCGAGCCACAGCGGCCGGUCGGUGCCCCGGUCCUGGCCGUAGGUGGCGAGCAGGGCCUGCGCCUC